rnacentral:rRNA from 1 species
UACGUAGGGGGCAAGCGUUGUCCGGAUUCAUUGGGCGUAAAGAGCGUGUAGGCGGCCAGGUAGGUCGGUUGUGAAAACUGGAGGCUCAACCUUCAGAGGUCGAUCGAAACCAUCUGGCUAGAGUCCGGGAGAGGAGAGUGGAAUUCCUGGUGUAGCGGUGAAAUGCGCAGAUAUCAGGAGGAACACCAAUUGCGAAGGCAGCUCGCUGGGACGUAACUGACGCUGAGGUGCGAAAGCGUGGGGAGCAAACAGG